AGGCAGGAGCUAAUUCUAGGUACAGAAAACCAUUGGUAAAGUGGAGGAAGCUGUUUCCAGAUCCACGGAAUGACGGUAACUAGCGUCACUUGAGAAGGUUUCUUCUGCCCUUUUGUAAAAAAUAGCAUGAUGUUUUCUCCUAGAGACAGACAGGGCCUCUGUACGUAAGAGCAGACAUGUAUGGAGAAGGCCGGAGAGUCACAAACCAUAUGUGCCUGAGAUGUGCCACCUGUGGGGCUGUGAAUAAGGAAGCAGAAUCAGUGUGUUUACUCAGAGCUGGAUUUGGCUGUUUGUUCCUUCAUCUUUCUUGGACCACAUGUCCUGGUGUUCAGAGGCUCCUGAGAGCCUGGGGCUCAGUAGGCCGUCUCAUAGCCCCUCUAACCCAGGUGAGAAAACAGGUCCCAGUGGGUCCCUAACCCAUGCUCAUUUUCUCACCAAACAACAACAAAUAAAUCAGAAAGUCCUGAAAAAUGAAUUCUGGCCUGUUUUCUGGAUUCUGGAUUGAAAUAUGGAGUAGGAGCUGACUUUUAGUAAGUUGAUCAACUCUCCCCGCCGACCCCCUAGCCUUCUGGAACUGUCUUCAGUAAACACAACCCCCGCCACCCCUGACCUACCCGCACCGCACUGUGGUCGGCCUCUUCUUUGAACACUUCCCUUACAGCACGCACUCCCCCCAAGCUGGGCCUUCUCUUGAGACCACUCUGCUGUCCUUGGGAGUGAUGGUGGAGGCGGGGUAGACACCCUGUCCCUGUCUCGUGGUGCUCCUUUGGGCCACAGCUCCUCUUCCCUCCGUAGGAGGAACCAUCUGGAAUCCAUCUUCCUCCUUGACCACACCUCUCCAUUCAUUAAGGAGCAGAGUUCCCUGCUCACUGGGUCUCUCUACCCCUCCUCUGUCCCUGUCUGGGUGAGGUCACAGAGAGCCUCACCCGCCUGCUCUGUUGGCCUCUCACUUGCCGUCCUCUCUGCCCCGUUCCCUCUCCUGCACACCUGUCCGCGGUAUCCCCAGCUCUUAGUGACUCUAGCCCUCUCCCGCCCUCCUCUGCACCCUGCAUGCACUUGUGUUGCUGAAUGUGGCCGGAGAAAAACACAGCCAUCUUGACUGUUCUGUGAGACUUCAUAGAUUUCCAGGGCUGUGUGGAAUCAAAAAAUCUUCCUGCAUUUCCCCAGCCAUCUGGCCUCCAGGAUGACUAUUUCACAUCUCCUCAAGCCUUUCACAUCUCAUCCCCCUCACACCUGAUGAUUUUGCUUCCUAUUUCACUGGGAAAAUGAAGUAGGGACGGGGUUUCAUCAUGUUGGCCAGGCUGGUCUCGAUCUUCUGACCUCGUGAGCCGCCCACCUCGGCCUCCCAAAGUGCUGGGAUUACAGGCAUGAGCCACCGCGCCCAGCCAAAGAGCCUAGAACCAUGCCUGGCACACAGUGGGCAUCUAGACCCUUUGCUGAGUGGUGAAAUUGAAGUGUGACAGGGUGCGUGGCUUCCCUGCUCAGGCUCCCUCAGUUCCCAAAGCUGUGCUCCUUCCUGGAUCUCAUGUAGCACAAGGAGGCAUACGUGGGUCGCACCACAUGGCUUCUAGAGGAGUAUGUGUGAAUGUGUUCAUGUUCAU
rnacentral:lncRNA from 1 species